rnacentral:rRNA from 1 species
UACAGGGGGUGCAAACGUUGCUCGGAAUUAUUGGGCGUAAAGCGCGCGUAGGCGGCCGCUUAAGUCGGAUGUGAAAGCCCCUGGCUCAACUGGGGAAGUGCACCCGAAACUGAGUGGCUUGAGUACUAAAGAGGGUCGCGGAAUUCCCGGUGUAGAGGUGAAAUUCGUAGAUAUCGGGAGGAACACCGGUGGCGAAGGCGGCGGUCUGGGUUGACACUGACGCUGAGGCGCGAAAGCGUGGGGAGCAAACAGG